rnacentral:rRNA from 1 species
ACUCGAGUGGCGAACGGGUGAGUAAUACGUGGGUGAUCUGCCCUGCACUUCGGGAUAAGCUUGGGAAACUGGGUCUAAUACCGGAUAGGAGCCAUCUUUAGUGUGGUGGUUGGAAAGUUUUUUCGGUGUAGGAUGAGCUCGCGGCCUAUCAGCUUGUUGGUGGGGUAAUGGCCUACCAAGGCGGCGACGGGUAGCCGGCCUGAGAGGGUGUACGGCCACAUUGGGACUGAGAUACGGCCCAG